CGAGAAGAACUACAUAACAACCGUCUCCAGCAGCGAAUUAACUAGUUUCGAUAGUAUGUUAAGAAAAUUCGGUUUUCCAAACUAUGAUUACUCUGUUUUGAAGGUAUUUUUUCGACAAAAAGAAACGUUAAUCUACAGCAGCACUCCAAAAUACCAGGUAAAAAUUAU